rnacentral:rRNA from 1 species
CCUACGGGAGGCAGCAGUCGGGAAUAUUGCGCAUUGGAGGAAACUCUGACGCAUUGACGCCGCGUGUAGGAAGAAGGUUCUCGGAUUUUAAACUGCUUUAGACAGGGAAGAAACAAGACAGUACCUGUAAAAUAAGCUCCUGCUAACUACGUCCCAGGAGCCGCGGUAAUACGUAGGAAGCAAGCGUUAUCCGGAUUUAUUGGGUGUAAAGGGUGCGUAGACGGGAAGUCAAGUUGGUUGUGAAAUCCCUUGGCUUAACUUAGGAACUGCAACCAAAACUAACUUUCUUGAGUGCUGGCGAGGCAAGUGGAAUUCCUGGUGUAGCGGUGAAAUGCGUAGAUAUUAGGCGGAACACCGGUGGCGAAGGCAGCUUACUAGACCUUAACUGACGUUGAGGCUCGAAAGCGUGGGGAGCAAACAGGAUUAGAUACCCUAGUAGUC